CCUUUACUUUUCCAGCCAUUCAGCUCAUCACACAAUUUCUUUUCUUCUUCAGGAGAGAAAUUCAUAUUCUUCAGUAAAGUUUUCAUACUUUGAAAAGCGGCUUUAAAUCUUGCUUCAGUCCAAUUUGCAAAGUUGCAAUGUGCCGACUCGUUUCUGAUAUCUGAUCGAACUGUCUUUGCAUGAGCAGCAGCUCCUACAAAUGGUGCAACUUCACAAAUCACUGAUAAGACUGCAGACGUAUCCAUUGUAUCAUCAAAGCCAGUGAACUUGGACAUGGAUGGUAUAAAAAACAACUUUGCCAAAGACAAUGGAUCCUUAACUGCAUAAUCAAAAGCACUAGGUUUCAGAGGUGGUCCAUUGUUGUUGAUACUUUUAUAGUUGAGGUUCAAAGUUGAUGGGGGUAACUUUUUCUGCUGUCCACCAAAAACUUGUUUGUCAAUUUUGGUCGGUGGUUGACAUAAAACUUGAUGCCACUUCGGUAAUUCGGUUGCAAGAACAUUUCUCAAUGCAGGAGUAAGCACUUUGGCCAAAAAUACACCAAUGACAACCCAUCUUCUUUCCUCGUCUGACAGAGAGGUUGUUGCACUAUGGGUUGUAAUGCUGGCAAUAGCCUUUAUAAAUAUA